AUCAGGAAUCUUGCACAAUGCGCGAAAGCGAGAUGCAGCGAUGCCGCGUGGGUGAGGAAGUCCUUCGGGAUGUAAAGCCCUUUGAACGGGGACGAUGAUGACGGUACCCGUAGAACAAGCCCCGGCUAACUACGUGCCAGCAGCCGCGGUAAUACGUAGGGGGCGAGCGUUGUCCGGAAUUACUGGGCGUAAAGGGCGCGUAGGCGGCCCGUUAAGUCCACGGUGAAAGCCCGAGGCUCAACCUCGGAAGGGCCGUGGGGACUGGGGGGCUAGGGGUCGGAGAGGAGCGUGGAAUCCCUGGUGGAGCGGUGGAAUGCGUAGAGAUCAGGGGGAACACCGAUGGCGAAGGCAGCGCUCUGGCCGACAUCCGACGCUGAGGCGCGAAAGCUGGGGGAGCGAACGG
rnacentral:rRNA from 1 species